rnacentral:rRNA from 1 species
UACGAAGGGGGCUAGCGUUGCUCGGAAUCACUGGGCGUAAAGCGCACGUAGGCGGCUUUUUAAGUCAGGGGUGAAAUCCUGGAGCUCAACUCCAGAACUGCCUUUGAUACUGAGAAGCUUGAGUCCGGGAGAGGUGAGUGGAACUGCGAGUGUAGAGGUGAAAUUCGUAGAUAUUCGCAAGAACACCAGUGGCGAAGGCGGCUCACUGGCCCGGUACUGACGCUGAGGUGCGAAAGCCAGGGGAGCGAACGGG